rnacentral:rRNA from 1 species
AUGAAUUAUACACUCGAGCGGGAGUACACGGCGGCCGAGGUCAAGACAACAUUGUUUGAUAUGGCGCCUUCCAAGGCGCCCGGUGUGGAUGGAUUCACCGCGGGAUUUUACCAACGACACUGGGAUGUCGUAGGGGAAGAUAUCACCUUGGCUAUCUUGAGUUUUUUGAACGGUGGGGAAUUACCUUUGGGACUGAACGACACGGCAAUAACUUUGAUCCCUAAAGUCCAUCACCCCCAGAAAAUCUCACAAUAUAGACCAAUAGCAUUGUGUCCUGUUCUGUACAAAAUUGCCGUCAAAACAGUGGCCAACCGUGUUCGUCUCAUUCUCGAUGAGGUCAUUUGGGAGGAACAGAGUGCUUUUGUUCCAGGCCGCUUAAUCACGGAUAAUGUAUUAGUGGCCUAUGAGUGUAUCCACGCCAUCAGGAGAAGGAAGAAGGGCAAGAAUUUCAGCUGCGCUAUCAAACUUGAUAUGCUGAAAGCAUACGAUCGUGUGGAAUGGCAUUAUCUCGAAGCUAUGCUGGCUAAACUGGGCUUCGGUGAUCGUUUUACUAGCCUCAUUAUGAAGUGUGUUACAUCGGUCAGAUUUACCAUCAAGGUUAACGGUGAGUUGCUCCCGUAUUUCAAUCCAACCAGAGGGCUCCGUCAAGGAUGCCCAGUCUCUCCAUAUAUCUUCCUCAUAUGCGCCCAAGGCCUCACCUCCAUGCUCAAUAACUUCGGCGGGGCACGCAUUGACAGGGGGAUCCGUGUGAGUGUUCAUGCACCUUGGGUUAGUCACCUUUUAUUUGCUGACGAUAGUCUCAUUUUCCUCAAAGCUAACACCCAGAGUGCAGAAUGGCUCAAUGAGAUUCUUCAUAUUUACGCUACUUGCUCCGGCCAAGCAGUGAACCGAGACAAGAGCGCAAUCUUCUUCAGUGGCAAUACAGAGCAGCCCCUUCGAGCGAUCCCCAAACAAUCUCUUGGCAUUGCAGUUGAGGCGUUUUCCGAACGUUAUUUGGGACUGCCCAUGGCCAUUGGAAGAAUCACUAGCAGUACUUUCAACCAUAUCAGUGAUCGUAUCCGCGGCAAGAUUGGUGGCUGGUCCGAACGAAACCUUGCUUGUGCGGGGAGGGAAGUGCUACUUAAAUCCAUUGCUCAAGCAAUCCCAACAUAUAGCAUGAGUUGUUUUCAGUUGACCAAAAAAGUAUGCAAGACUAUCACAUCGCCCAUGGCAAAGUACUGGUGGGGUAGUUCUUUGGACAAGCGAUCCCUACACUGGCUCUCGUGGGAUAAGCUGACACAGCCAAAGAUCAAGGGCGGUCUGGGGUUUAAGGAUCCUCAAGUCUUCAAUCUAGCCAUGCUCGGCAAGCAAGGCUGGCGACUCCUAACAAACCCUACCUCUCUUUGUGCUCGGGUGUUGAAGGGUAAAUAUUUCCCUCAUACAAGCUUCCUCCAAGCUACGAUUCCUAAGAGUGCUUCCUUGACCUGGAGGGCGAUUGUUGCGGGAAGGAAAGCUUUGGAAGCUGGGCUGAUCCACCGGAUAGGUGAUGGUUCCUCCACGUCCAUCUGGAACGAUCCUUGGAUCCUCACUACUGUUACUAUGAAACUGGUCGGUCGCCUCGGGGUUGCCCCUCUCGAGCGCGUAUCAGAGUUGAUCGAUGAUUACACCGGUAACUGGAAUAUUGAUCUUGUUCGCCAAAAUUUCCUCCUUCCGGAUGUCGAGGCCAUUCUGAACCUUUGA